UACAGAGGUCUCAAGCGUUGUUCGGAUUCAUUGGGCGUAAAGGGUGCGUAGGCGGCGCGGUAAGUCGGGUGUGAAAUCUCGGAGCUUAACUCCGAAACUGCAUUCCAUACUGCGGUGCUUGAGGACUGGAGAGGAGACUGGAAUUUACGGUGUAGCAGUGAAAUGCGUAGAGAUCGUGAGGAAGACCAGUGGCGAAGGCGGGUCUCUGGACAGUUCCUGACGCUGAGGCACGAAGGCCAGGGGAGCAAACGGG
rnacentral:rRNA from 1 species